ACACAUGAUGACUGAAAUUCUUCACUUUGACCUGAUGUCUGUUGAAGAAACUCUGUGUCUGAGC
ensembl:snoRNA